GUUAUUAUCCGAAGCUGUUUAUGCUGCUGCGAAAAUGUGUGGGGCUGUGCUUUGAAGCUGCCUUUGAUUUCGAGUUGAGGCGAAAAGAACUUAUGAGGCGUUUGGAUUAUGGAUUUGCGUUUUGAGGAUAUGGGCGCAGAAGUCACAAAGAAUUUAUUUAGUUGUUGUUGAAAUGCUCUGUAUUGCUUUAG